rnacentral:rRNA from 1 species
ACACGACUACAUUAGAUACCCGUGUAGUCCCAGCCCUAAACGAUGCGCGUUAGGUGUAUCGGUGACCACGAGUCACCGAGGUGCCGAAGGGAAACCGUGAAACGUGCCGCCUGGGAAGUACGGUCGCAAGGCUGAAACUUAAAGGAACUUGGCGGGGGAGCACCACAACGGGUGGAGCUUGCGGUUUAAUUGGAUUCAACGCCGGAAAUCUUACCGGGACCGACAGCAACAUGAAGGCCAGGCUGAAGACUUUGCCGGAUUAGCUG